CAGAGUGACACCUGGGGGAUGACAUUGCUGUUUAUCCACAGAACAGCAACAACAUGGGAAGCAAGCAUCCCUCACACUGCCUCCUACCAGGGGGCUUCAGUCCUACCCUAGAGGGACAUAUCUUCUUAGAGUGAGAGAGAAGUGCGCUCUCCAUACCCAUUCCAUCCUUGGUCCCG
ensembl:misc_RNA